GCAUAUCAAUAAGCGGAGGAAAAGAAACUAACAAGGAUUCCCUUAGUAACGGCGAGUGAAGAGGGAAGAGCUCAAAUUUUAAAUCUAUCAUGUUGUACAUGAUCGAGUUGUAAUUUGAAGAAGCGUUUUCUCGUACUUUAUGCAAUCAGUAUAAGUUCUCUUGGAACAGGACAUCAUAGAGGGUGAUAAUCCCGUCUGUUACUGGUUGUGAGGUUCGUUAUGAUACGCUUUCAAAGAGUCGAGUUGUUUGGGAUUGCAGCUCCAAAUGGGUGGUAAACAUCACCUAAGGCUAAAUAUUUGCGAGAGACCGAUAGCGAACAAGUACCGUGAGGGAAAGAUGAAAAGAACUUUGAAAAGAGAGUUAAAAAGUAUGUGAAAUUGUUGAAAGGGAAACGAUUGAAGUCAGUCGUGCAGUCAUCAAUUCAGCGGUUAACAUUUUAUGUUUCCGUGUAACUUGGUGUCUGUUGGUUAGCAUCAAUUUUGAUUGUUAUAAAAAGGUUAAGGGGAUGUGGCUCCUUCGGGAGUGUUAUAACCCUUAGCGUAAUGUGACGAUUAGGAUUGAGGUUUGCAACGAAUACCUUUUAGGGCAGUUUCACCUGGCCUCUCGUGGAAUUAUAGAUAGUUAAGAGCAUGCUCUUACUGUUUAUGAUUCUACGAAAAGGUUGGAGUGUAAAACUAAUUCGUUAAGGAUGUUGACGUA
rnacentral:rRNA from 1 species